rnacentral:rRNA from 1 species
UACGUAGGGUGCAAGCGUUGUCCGGAAUUAUUGGGCGUAAAGAGCUCGUAGGCGGCUUGUUGCGUCGACUGUGAAAACCUGCGGCUCAACCGUGUGGUCUGCAGUCGAUACGGGCAGGCUGGAGUUCGGUAGGGGAGACUGGAAUUCCUGGUGUAGCGGUGAAAUGCGCAGAUAUCGGGAGGAACACCAGUGGCGAAGGCGACUUCCUGGCCUGUUCUUGACGCUGAGGCGCGAAAGCUAGGGUAGCAAACGGGAGUUAAGAUGA